UACGUAGGGGGCAAGCGUUGUCCGGAUUUACUGGGCGUAAAGAGCGUGUAGGCGGCCACGCAGGUCCGUUGUGAAAACUGGAGGCUCAACCCCGGACUUGCAGUGGGUACGGGCAGACUAGAGUGUGGUAGGGGAGACUGGAAUUCCUGGUGUAGCGGUGAAAUGCGCAGAUAUCAGGAGGAACACCGAUGGCGAAGGCAGGUCUCUGGGCCACUACUGACGCUGAGAAGCGAAAGCAUGGGGAGCGAACAGG
rnacentral:rRNA from 1 species